CCUACUUUUUCUGUAAGUAAUCAAAGUGAUAGUCAUGGUCCCAAGAGGAUAGACCAGGUGACUUUAAAAACUGUCAGGCUUUUUGUUUUUAGUGCCAUCAGAAGGUUAAGUAAAAAUUUUAAGAAGUAAAAUCCCAUCACCUUUAAGAAAAGGGAUCUAAAACUGGAUUCCUGCACUCCUUAUCCACAGAGGAUACAUCAUGGUGAUAAAAGUUUCCUAUUUUUUCCUUAAGUAUCCUCAUGAGGUUCAGGUUUUGUCACCAUAUCUGACAUUCAAAACUUGGAUUAUCCUCUAAUUUAGUCAAAUAAAAGUCAUGGUCCCAAGAAGAUAGACCAGGUCACUUUAAAUACUGCCUGGCUUUUUGUUUUGAGUGCCGUCAGAAGGUUAAAUAAAAAUUCAAAGAAAUAAAAUCCCAUUACUGUUAAGAUAACAGGAUGAAACUGAAUUCCUGUACUUCUGAUCCUCAGAGGAUACAUCAUGGUAAUAAAAGUUUUUUACUUUUUCUUAGAGGAUAGACCAGGUGACUUUAAAGACUGCCUGGCUUUUUGUUUUUAGUGCCGUCAAAAGGUCAAGUAAAAAUGUUAAGAAAUGAAAUCCCAUCACCUUUAGGAUUACAGGUCAAAAACUGGAUUCCUGUACUCCUUAUCCAGAGACGAUACAUGUAAAUGAUUUUG